GGAGGGAAGCAAAGAACACCUUUUGCAGGUGGAUAUUACUAUGGAAAAAUCAAGUUUCCUCCGAAAUAUCCAUAUAAGUCUCCUGGAAUCAGCAUGACUACACCUAAUGGACGGUUCAUGACGCAGAAAAAGAUUUGUUUGUCUAUGAGUGAUUUUCAUCUUGAAAGUUGGAAUCCUAUGUGGUCUGUUUCAAGGUCAAAUUGAUUUUAGUUAUGAUGCUUCG